AGUAACGGCGAGUGAAGCGGCAAGAGCUCAAAUUUGAAAGCUGGCUCCUUCGGGGUCCGCAUUGUAAUUUGCAGAGGAUGCUUCGGGAGCGGUCCCCAUCUAAGUUCCCUGGAACGGGACGUCAUAGAGGGUGAAAAUCCCGUAUGGGAUGGGGUGUCCGCGCCCGUGUGAAGCUCCUUCGACGAGUCGAGUUGUUUGGGAAUGCAGCUCUAAAUGGGUGGUAAAUUUCAUCUAAAGCUAAAUAUUGGCCGGAGACCGAUAGCGCACAAGUAGAGUGAUCGAAAGAUGAAAAGCACUUUGAAAAGAGAGUUAAAAAGCACGUGAAAUUGUUGAAAGGGAAGCGCUUGCGACCAGACUCGCUCGCGGGGUUCAGCCGGCAUUCGUGCCGGUGUACUUCCCCGCGGGCGGGCCAACGUCGGUUUGGGCGGUCGGUCAAAGGCCCUCGGAAGGUAACGCCCCCAGGGGCGUCUUAUAGCCGAGGGUGCAAUGCGACCUGCCUAGACCGAGGAACGCGCUUCGGCUCGGACGUUGGCAUAAUGGUCGUAAGCGACCCGUCUUGAAACACGGACCAAGGAGUCUWACAUCUACGCGAGUGUUCGGGUGUCAAACCCGUGCGCGCAGUGAAAGCGAACGGAGGUGGGAACCCUUUGGGUGCACCAUCGACCGAUCCUGAUGUCUUCGGAUGGAUUUGAGUAAGAGCGUAGCUGUUGGGACCCGAAAAGAUGGUGAAACUAUGCCUGAAUAGGGGCGAAGCCCGGAGGAAAACUCUGGUGGAGGCUCGUAGCGGUUUCUGACGUGCAAAAUCGAUCGUCGA
rnacentral:rRNA from 1 species